UUGAUGAUGGUGAAUCAAGACAGAAGGUAAGAGAAGAUGCUUACUUCUUCUAAUUAAUUGUUGCAGUAGCUCGAAGAUUUACCUCUCAAAUGUUAUACCUUCUUUGAUUGAAUUUCUUGGUGAAGCAUUCAUUUUAUCUCUUAUUCCUUUGAAUGCCAUAUCGAUUAAGCUGGAAUGUUUGAUAAAUCAUCAGACGCUUCUAAUUUGGAUGGUCUAAAUGUUAAAUUUGUUAUUCGCUGCACUACUAUUGAUAACUGAUGCAGUAGAAUUUGGCCUCUUUUCAUAUAUUCAGAACUCUUCACUCUAGCUGUAAUAAUUACACUUUUCUUUGUAUAGGUAGUUGUUAAGAGUCGAGAUCCUACACCAAGAGAGAAACAUGUAUAGGAUGUUGAAAAGGGAUGAGAUCCAACAGCAAGUGAUAUAUGUUUCCAAGUCCAUGUACAUGAUUGAUGGCCUCCAACCAAGCAUUAGCUGGCUUUUUUGUUAGGGCUUUAUUUUGGUGUUGUGGAUGUAUUGAACUUAAACACAAUUGUUAAAUACAUUAUGCUAUCUCCUUUAGACCUUGUAUAUUAAUUUAUAUGAAUUUCAUUUAUUUUUAA